rnacentral:rRNA from 1 species
UACGUAGGAUGCAAGCGUUGUCUGGAAUUACUGGGCGUAAAGGGCGAGCAGGUGGCAAGUCAAGUCUGAUGUAAAAUCUCCCGGCUUAACUGGGAGGGGCCAUUGGAAACUGGCUAGCUGGAGUGCAGGAGAGGCUAACGGAAUUCCCGGUGUAGUGGUGAAAUGCGUAGAUAUCAGGAGGAACACCAAUGGCGAAGGCAGCUCGCUGGGACGGUACUGACGCUGAGGCGCGAAAGCGUGGGGAGCAAACAGG